GGAUCUCUUGGUUCUGGCAUCGAUGAAGAACGCAGCGAAAUGCGAUAAGUAGUGUGAAUCGCCGCCCCCAGUGAAUCAUCGAAUAUUUGAACGCACAUUGCGCCCCUUGGUAUUCCAUGGGGCAUGCCUGUUCGAGCGUCAUUUGUACCCUCAAGCUAUGCUUGGUGUUGGGUGUUUGUCCUAUCCAUUGCGACUGGACUCGCCUUAAAGAUAUUGGCAGCCGGCAUUUUGGCCUUGGAGCGCAGCACAAUUUGCGAGUCCAAGCCGGAAUACUGACGUCCAGAUAAGCUUUUUACCACGUCUGACCUCUUUUCAGGUAGGGAUACAAAAAAAAACUUAAGCAUAUCAAUAAGCGGAGGA
rnacentral:rRNA from 1 species